AGUGAACGCUGGCGGUAGGCCUAACACAUGCAAGUCGAACGGCAGCACAGUAAGAGCUUGCUCUUACGGGUGGCGAGUGGCGGACGGGUGAGGAAUACAUCGGAAUCUACUUUUUCGUGGGGGAUAACGUAGGGAAACUUACGCUAAUACCGCAUACGACCUACGGGUGAAAGCAGGGGAUCUUCGGACCUUGCGCGAUUGAAUGAGCCGAUGUCGGAUUAGCUAGUUGGCGGGGUAAAGGCCCACCAAGGCGACGAUCCGUAGCUGGUCUGAGAGGAUGAUCGGCCACACUGGAACUGAGACACGGUCCAGACUCCUACGGGAGGCAGCAGUAGGGAAUAUUGGACAAUGGGCGCAAGCCUGAUCCAGCCAUCCCGCGUGGGUGAAGAAGGCCUUCGGGUUAUAAAGCCCUUUUGUUGGGAAAGAAAAGCAGCAGGUUAAAACCCCGCUGUUCUGACGGUACCCAAAGAAUAAGCACCGGCUAACUUCGUG
rnacentral:rRNA from 1 species